GAUUGUGGAUGCCCCAUCCCUGGCGGUGCCCAAGGCCAGGCUGGAUGGGGCCCUGGGCAGCCUGAUCUGCUGGAGGCCACCAACCCACUGCAAGGGUUGGGCCUGGGGGGGCUUUAAGGUCACUUCCAACCCAAGCCAACCUGAUUCUACAAUUCUAUGUGUGACUGUGCCAACUUUACUCUUCAGUGCAAGAAAACUAGUAAAAGAUCAUUUGGUGGACACAAAGAAGCAGCUAAACAAGAGUCUCCAAUCCAGGAGCACAGUAAAUGCAUUACAACAGAAGAAAUUAGGCUCUGAACCAACUACAGCUUCUUCAGACAGCUUCAGACCACGAAUAUGGCGCAGACAGUGAAUCCAGGGACCAGACCAGACUGACUCUUAGCUGGUGGAUAACUUAGUGUGGCACAGAUGUAAGACCUUUUGCAUCUCACUUCUGUUUAUUGAUCUACCCCUAACUACUUACUAACGUAAACAUUUUCUCAUGCCAGGCUGAGAUUGCUGUUACUCGAGAGUUCUUCUGCAGAGGAAUAAUCUCUGUGAAUUGUUACAAACUGUCACUAAUUAGAGCAGUUCCCCAGUUCUUACAUCACUUGCUGCUAGGACUCCCCUGCACCACAAACCGACCGUUGGCGUUCAAUGAUGCUCACACCGGAAACCCUUCUCAUGUGGAGGAGAUGUUACCAAAAUAUACUGGAGGAGGGAGGAGAGCGCUGCUGAAUACGCAGCUUGAGCUGCUUAAAGGAGAAUGGGUGUGACCCUCCAGUGAACCCCUGAUUUGUAUACAGCAGCAGAGGGCACUAGAUAACAAGCAACAAUUUUCUGUAUAUUGCUAUAGAUCUUCCCGUUCUAUCUCAGAUACUGUUUGACUCCUCGCCCAGCAGGCAGCUGGAGCUGCCAUGCACAUAGAGAGCAGAGGGCAGGACAGGGGAAGGGGCUGCCAGCACAGGCAGGUACCACAGCCCAGCGACUCACUGCCAGCAGUAUUUCACAGCCUCACACAGCUCUGCCCAGAGCUAGAAUAGUGAAACAACUAGCCUCGGGGCCACUUAAUGCAGCCACACCUGACUCUGUGAAUGCUACUGCUUUGGCCAAACCCCGUGGCCUAUCAGCUCUGGUGAAGGUGGCAUGGAUGCUGUGUGGGCACCUGCCUUUGCAUUGGACAUUGUGUUUCAGAGGUUUCAGCCUGAACUUUUGUUUUUACUGCUUUUUGGAAAUGUCUGAAUCUGCUGAAUUGUACAGAGUUGUCUGGAUAUUUGAAGUCUUUACACAUCACUUCACUUCAGCAGCCUGAAUUUGCUGCCCAUAAAAGCAGAGCAUCUUGAAAACCUUCCAAACUGUUUAGGCAAUGAAUUCAAAAUUGGAAAGCAAGACUUGGAGCUAGCACUCCAAACAGUCAGGUUUGAUUCUUCUCAUUUUCUGUGUGGUGCAGGUGAAACAGAGAGCAUGGCCUGCCCAUCACCACCAUGCCCACUUUAUAUCUCUCCUCCUAAUGGGCCAGGCACAGGAAGCCUUGAGUACUUAUUGCUAGUAUUCCCUGUGCAAAACUAGUCACUUCCUCCGCACUGUGAAAAUGUUUCUUGGGCGAAUCCUUCUCCUUCCCACACGCGACCUUCGGAGGACACCGGGGGGCAGUGCAGCUCUAAUUUGGAUCAAAAAGCCAUCGGGCAGAUGAUCUGCGCAAGGGAAAGCAAGCCUCUAGUUUCUACCAUUUCCCUCCUUAUUUCACACAGCAACCCACCCAUAGUUACACCCUUUAAAUCAGAGCUGUCUUCCUCAGCCUCCACAUUUGCAGCCAAUAUCUAUAAUGCCAAAGGGGAAAAAAGAUAGAAGAAAAAUGAGGAAGAAUGAAUGGGAAAAAAAAGACAAGGGUAGCAUCUUUUUCCUAAAUGUAACGAAGUAGCUCUAUUGGUGCCACUGGGAACCAAGCCCUCGAAAGUGCUGAUCACACACGGUCGCUCUGCAGUGCUACAUCACAAGCGCUGAUGGCCCCAAAGCAGACCAAGGUGUCUGAAAUCAGUCUCUCAGUGGUCCCUAGUAGCAGCUCUGCAGGAUGAAGCUCUUCAGGCUUCUCUUGGACUGCAGCAACAAGGGCGCUGCAGGGGCCUGGUGAGGUGACAGGGAAAUCCAUCAGCUCCUUUUCUCACAUUGGUCUGUUUCAACAUCUUAAAUACUACUGAAUAACUCAUGAUAGGCAGAGCCUCUCAAGAAGAUUUAAGACUGUAAUAAAAAGGCAGUGCCAGAGGAUGCCAGUGUACUGAUUUUUUUUUAAAUAUAUUUUUGGAAUAACAAUUAAUUGCCAAUAGAAUUAAGUGCUUCCUGGAAACGAAGACUAAAAAUUCUUCCCACAGUUUGAUGCCAUCUUGAACAAGGAGAUGAAAGAUUCCGUUAUGGGUCAAAAAGCCAUAACUGCAAUAUGUAAGCCAUGGGUGUCCAACCUUCCAGCUUGUCACACUGAGUGAGGAGGAAUUGUC